AAACAUGUGGUCGCAGGUUGUCUGUUAUGGGCAACAUGAGGAAAGUCCGAGCAUCUAAAAGACAGAGUGCCAGUUAACGGCUGGUGAAGGCGACUUCAAGGAAAGUGCAACAGAAAUAAACCGCCUGAAUUUCAGGUAAGGAUGGAAAGGUAGGGUAAGAGCCUACCGGGGCUGUGGUAACACGGCUCGCUCUGUAAACCCCACUCGAUGCAAGGCUAAGCAAAGGCAAAUGUGCGUCUUUUCACGCCUUUCAAAAACGCCGCUUGACCCUUUUGGCGACAAAAGGGCUAGAUAGAUGACCACAUAAUACAGAACUCGGCUUAUAGUUUAACU
rnacentral:RNase_P_RNA from 1 species